rnacentral:lncRNA from 1 species
CUAGGAUUGGGGUGGGGUUCAUCCCACCCAGACCACAGAGACUGAAAAUAAGAAAGGGGUGAGGCCUAAGGGACAAUCAGGAUGUUUUUCAGAGAGAAGUGUGGAUGCUGGACAGGAAGAACCACAGAUACCAGAUACGGAAAAGGAAGAAUCAACACUUUCAGAGAUGGAGCCUGUUGAGCCACAGUACCAACUAGUCAAUGCUGAAUCGACUUCUCCCUUUCUACAUUGCCUGAGAGAAGUCAUUGGGGAAUACUCUGUACACGAAUUUUCACUGUUGGGGAAAACAGAGAGUCAAGGGAUUGGAUUGUGGAUUGCAUUGGUGGUUUUCCUCAGUUUCCUCAUCUUCUCCACAAGUUUCUACAUAUCGAAUGCAGAGCAGCCCUUCUUCAAAGGACCUCCUACGGAAGCUGCUAAGGAACUCAGUCUGUAGCUCUGCGUGGAGCCAUGUGUAAACACUGAACUGAGACCUGCCACCUCCUACUACCUAAGGGCCCAUUUUCAUCUGAUAUCAUCCCCCAGAAACAAACUCAUGAUGACUUCCAUGUUUUUUUUAGAUUAGAUACAUGGAGAAUUUUCCUUUCCCUUAGAAUUAAAAUCCUGCAUUCUAAUUUUCAGGUAAAACUUUUUCGUCUCUACAGAACUCUCUCCAAGUGCACACCCAUAGAUUGGUUUGCUUGUGGAAUCCUAGCAUAUCAGAAAUGAAGGAAUCUCAGAAAUUGUUUUCAUCAAACACCUCAUAUGCAGAAGGCAAAAUGAAGGUUCAGAGCAGAAAUGAUUUGUCCAAGGAUGCAACACUCAUCUGCAGCAGAGGGAAGCUGAGCUCUGCAGACCCACCUAGCACUGCAGAGGCAGCCCUCUAGGACAAGGCUUCAUAAAAAAGUGACUUUAUGAGUUGGCUCCAUAAAAAAGAUACAGAUUAAGAAAUUGUUUAAACAGUGAUCUCUAUAUAAUUACUCUUUUAUUUAAAAGUAUGGGCUGGGAGCGGUGGCUGACGCCUGUAAUCCCAGCACUUUGGGAGGCCGAUGUGAGCAGAUAACCUGAGGUCGGGAGUUAGAGACCAGCCUGACCAACAUGGAGAAACUCCGUCUCUACUAAAAAUACAAAAUUAGCAGGGUGUGGUGGUGCAUGCCUGUAAUCCCAGCUACUCGGGAGGCUGAGGCAGGAGAACUGCUUGAACCCAGGAGGCAGAGGUUGUGGUGAGCCGAGAUCGCGCCAUUGCACUCCAGCCUGGGCAACAAGAGCGAAAC